UUUUGUACUAGUGGUGGCUGCACACACG
rnacentral:sRNA from 1 species